CCUACGGGGGGCAGCAGUGGGGAAUAUUGGACAAUGGGGGCAACCCUGAUCCAGCCAUGCCGCGUGUGUGAAGAAGGCCCUCGGGUUGUAAAGCACUUUCAGUGAGGAAGAACGCCUGGUGGUUAAUACCCAUCAGGAAAGACAUCACUCACAGAAGAAGCACCGGCUAACUCCGUGCCAGCAGCCGCGGUAAUACGGAGGGUGCGAGCGUUAAUCGGAAUUACUGGGCGUAAAGCGCGCGUAGGUGGCUUGAUAAGCCGGUUGUGAAAGCCCCGGGCUCAACCUGGGAACGGCAGCCGGAACUGUCAAGCUAGAGUGCAGGAGAGGAAGGUAGAAUUCCCGGUGUAGCGGUGAAAUGCGUAGAGAUCGGGAGGAAUACCAGUGGCGAAGGCGGCCUUCUGGACUGACACUGACACUGAGGUGCGAAAGCGUGGGUAGCACACAGGAUGAGAUACCCUUGUAGUC
rnacentral:rRNA from 1 species